rnacentral:lncRNA from 1 species
GUGGACAUUUCUCUAGGCCUUGGGACUUGCCAGGAAGAGGGUAGACCAGAUGCCUCCAACCUCUCAGGGCAAAGCCAAUGGACAGGCUGAAGCACCAGUGGUAUCGCCGUCUCCUGGCACUGUGGUUGGUAGGUUCGGGGUGGCUGCUGGAGCAGCCCCGCUGGCAGGGGGUGCUGGACAACAUUGCUUGCCUGCUGAGCUGGGUGAACUCUGGGACGGGCUCCAUGGAAAAUGGACUUUUCUCUUCCUGCUUCCCUAACCCUGCAGUGCACAUACCUCUCGGAGCACCUGCUGUCUUUGCUUGGGGAAAGCCUGGUUCUUCAGGCCCCCGUUUGGUCCUGCCGGCCCAGAGGGCUGUGCUCGUGUGGAAUGGGCACCUCUCAGCACCACAGCCCUGUGAAGGGGCCGAGGGUGUUACCUGCCUACACCAAGGGGGUGGUACAGAGCCUGGCAGGCACAAAGAGCAAGGACAGGCUGAGGGCUCACCUCACCCCUUCCCGAAGCAGAAGCUUUCCCCGUUACCAGCUGUGUGGAGGACUUUCUAGAGGCAGGGGGAUGGCUGUGAUGGCUGUGAUGACAUCUCACAGGCCAUCCUCCCUGAAGAGCCUGCUUCCCGUGCAGUGAGUUUACCAGCGCGUAUGGUGCAGUAGGGAUUGCAGGCCUGAGAAACAGACCCUCGGCUCAGAUCCAGAGCGUUUUCUGGAAAGGCCAGUCCUUUCAUUCAGCUCCUAAGCACACUCCCCUGCCAUUCCCAAGCCCGGCUGUAUCCGGGCAGGUGUAGGAGGAAAGCCGGGGGGAGAGGACCCCCCAAACUGGCUUCCCAGCCCCCUGCUAUUCACCCUGUCCCCUUUCACCACGAGAGAGCUGCUCCUCGGGUUUCCUGGCAGCACAGCUGGCCACAGCCUGGGCCAAAGUUACUUGCUCUCAGGGUCAAACAACAGAAUUGGCUCAGUGCUGGGCUACAUUUUCUUACCUGCAGAAAGAGUACAUGUAUCUGUGGGCUCGACCUUCAACUGACUGAUUAUUCAGUGAUGCAAGCACUGCUAAUACCUUUGUGGCUUAAACGUGUGGCAAACGAUGCUUUAGUAGAGUCUCAAGGACAUAGCCCUGCUCCUGCCCAGGCCCCCUGGCAAGAGGCUAGAAGCUCCAAUCACAGACUAAGUCGGUGGCAGGUGAUCCAUUACUGGGGGGGGGGGUCAUCGUCACCCUCCCGAAACUGAUUCUAGCUGCAGCAACAGCUAAAGGCUUAUCGUUAGGCUCAGGACCCCCCUCUCUCUCUCUGAGGCUGGAUACCUUUGGUUUCAAAGUGGAUUCGGUGGGGAGGAUGAAGGCAGUGCCUUGGGUCUCUGAGAACUGUAGGUCUUCGAGUGUCUCCAUCGGGGGCAACGUUUGGAGUGGCUGCUUCGGGUUCUGCUGUGGCGCUUGCAUAGGCUGCCCUGUUCCUCUUGAGUUAUCAGGGCGUGCAGGGAGGGGCUGGGGACCUGGGAACCGCAGGGACAGGCUAGAGCUGCGUAAGGCGUACGAAGAGCAUUCCCGGACCAGGCU